GUUGCUCUGUGACCACGAACAUCCCCUGAUUCCAGAUGGCUCAUCGCUGUGACGGUCUGUUUCUCGCUCACCAUUGAGGGUCUGGGGGACUCUCCAGAACAGCUGUCCUCCACACACCCCCAAAAGUGUCACAGCACAGGAAGAGAGAGCCUAGAGGAGACCCCGCAUCAGCUCUGCAAUGCCUUCACGUUCUGUUUCCACUCGGGCUUUGUUGGCCAAGGAAUGUCGUGUGGCCGUGUCGGACCUCAAGGGGACAGGGUUCAGGACAGUGGGGAGACCCAGAAAUGGGACGUUUUCUAUAGACACGGAGAGUCACCUUUCCUAGAGACUGAGGCGCCCACCAUGAAUGGAUCACCACGAACUUCUCCCCGAGAGCACACAGUCUACUCCCCUCCCAAAUCAAUAAGAGAGUGUUAAAAUCACACGUGUGCACGCACACACAUACACACGCACUCUGAACCUUCUAUAGUGUGGAAGAGCCCGGUCUUAGGGUCAAACAGACCUGAAUCCAAGUCCUGCCUGGUCCCCACCAGCAACUUCUAAACCUCGGUUCUGUCAUCUCUCCCACGGGGAUAAUGACAACCACCUCCUCCGGCUGUGGUGACGAGUCGGCGAGACAACGUGUCACCACAGGAGUCUCCUUGGUGGCUGCUCCGUUCUACAGUCUCACCAACCGUGCACGAUCUCUCCACGUCCUGGCCGACACGUGGCAUUUUCUGCCUUUCUCAUCGCGACCUUCCUAACGGGCGCCAGGCCACACUCACGCUGAACGGGCUGCCGCAGGCGCACCUGACUCUGGAGUGAGUUCCUGCCUGGUUCCCUCCACUCUUUCACGGUGUUUUGCUAACCCAGCCGCUGACUGCCGCGCACCUGAGUCCCACAGGUGGAGCUGGGUGGCUCCUGGGCAUAGGUCCCUACUGAGGAGGAUGCAGGGACCGUGUCUCUCCAGCGAGCCUUUAGGAGCCCGAUCGCUGGGUCAGUCCGGCCGACUGCUGGAUCGCAGACCUGCACGGUCCUGCCCCGUCUUUUCCAGAAAGGCACGCUCGGAUCUGCUCCCCCACCCCCGACCCCGCACAGUGGGCUGGAGGGCUCCUGCCUCUCCACGUCUUGCCCGCGCCUGCCAUCAGCCAAACCCUUGAACUUCUACAGCUCUGUGGGGCGUCAGGGGAAUCCCCGUGUUUUGAUUUGCGUUUCUCUGGCUCCCGGUGGAUUCGAGCAGGUCGGCACUGAUGUGUGCACGUGCCGUCUCCCCUUCGGUGAGUUGCCCGACGGGGUUGCCUUUUCCCCUUUACGGAUUUGCCUUAGAGCAUCAUCUCUGCCACUUGUCACGGAAACAGGGGAACACGGGUUACUUUUGACUGAAAGCAGACGUGCCGUGACAGGCACAUCCUGUGCGCAUGGGAGGAUCGGGCCCCGGACGGCCACGGCGUUCCCAGGCACGGCGUGGCGAGCUUGGCCUGUGGCCUCCGACAUGCAGGCUUGGAGGCCGGGUGGGCUGGGGAGGUGACACGGCGCCCACGUUUACUGUUCCGGUGGAGCCGUGGGCCUGACCUUUGACAUGCUCUUUGCACAGUCCGUCGGGGGUCCGUUCAGCUGUUGCGGCAACUGAUGGUGAGUAAGAGGGUGCCUGCGGUCGCCGGCGGGCAGUUGGCCCCUGCCGGAACAGCCGGGUGCGUCUGGCACUCGGGGCCCGGCUCCCAACGCCGGGGGACGCGAUGCGGGAUCUUUAAAGGCUGGAUCUGAAAGCGACCAGAUCACGGGACUCCAAAACCGUCUGUUUUCAGUGUUGGAGGCUGCAGUCUCAGUGCUGGGACGGGACCCCCACCCCCACCCCCCUCCCCGGAACACCAGCAGGUGCCUGAAGGGCUGGUCGGGGGCUGCGGUUUGGAGCAGUUGUUCCAUGAGACCUGUCCCACCGGUCCGUCCCCUGUGCUCUGCCCACGGGGGACGCCGGCCACGCCCACCAGGGACGGAUGGGGUCCCCGGAUCAGGACCCACAGCGGACCCACCCAUCCCUGAGACUGCGUUAAGCUGGGAUUCCAGGAUUCCCCGCUUGUCUGUUACGGGAGAAAGAGCCGAUGGCAAGUCUGGUGGUGACACCCCGUCCUGCAGAGGGGAGGCUGCUGGCUCCUCCCCUCGGUCUCUGGUCCCACAAGAAAUCACAUCCACCACCCACCUCUCUCCGGAGCGAGCCUGCCAGACAGACAAGUUCAGCAUAAGCGUGUCCCAAACACGUCGUGCCAUAUACUUUCACUAACAGAUUAGUCAUUGCUUAUCCGAAAGUCAAAUUUGACGGUGCAUCCUAUACUUAAAAAAAAAAAAAAAAA